rnacentral:rRNA from 1 species
UGGUGGGUUGCCUUGUCAGGUUGAUUCCGGUAACGAACGAGACCUCAGCCUGCUAAAUAGUCACGGUUGCCUUUGGCAGCCGGACGACUUCUUAGAGGGACUAUUGUCGUUUAGGCAGUGGAAGUAUGAGGCGAUAACA